UAUCUCUGUAGAGUCUGCAUAUCAAUAAGCGGAGGAAAAGAAACUAACUAGGAUUCCCUCAGUAACGGCGAGUGAAGCGGGAAGAGCUCAAAUUUGAAAUCUUCAAGGUUUUACCUUGACGAAUUGUAGUUUAAAGAAGUGUUUUCUGUUGAAGUUUCGGUAAAAGUUCUUUGGAAUAGGACAUCAUAGAGGGUGAGAAUCCCGUAUUUGACCAGUUAUCUUCCAGCUGUGUGAUACACUUUCAAAGAGUCGGAUUGUUUGGGAAUGCAGUCCAAAAUGGGUGGUAAAUUUCAUCUAAAGCUAAAUAUUGGCGGGAGACCGAUAGCGAACAAGUACCGUGAGGGAAAGAUGAAAAGAACUUUGAAAAGAGAGUUAAACAGUACGUGAAAUUGUCAAAAGGGAAGCGUUUGACACCAGUGUUGUUUAGUUGAAAAUCAAUUCAAUAGUUUUUGAUUCUAAGUAGUAUUGACUUCAUCAGCUUGCUGCUUUCUUCUCAGAAAUUAUUGAAUGCACUUUUCGUUUAACAAGUCAACAUCAAUUUCUUUUGUUGUAAAAGAGUCAUUGGAAGGUGGCUUUCUUUUCGGAGAAAGUGUUUAUAGCCUUUGACUUCUGCAAUCGGAGAGAUUGAGGUCUGCAGCGUAGAUCCUUCGGGGUUAGAUGCAUUUGUGCUAAGCUGUAGCCUUUCAUAGACAACCUGUUGACUAUGAUCAGUCUUGUAGCUUACUCGCUUAUGUCAUUUUACCUACGCUUAGGAUGUUGAACGCGCACAGAGUCUC
rnacentral:rRNA from 1 species